AUUCGAUAAAUCGAUGCAUGUAAACAAAGGUAAGUUGACAUUACUCUAUGGUACGACACCACUAACCGCGAACAAACCAAUAUAAAACAUAUGGUUACAGUAAUACCAUCACACGACGGAUGCACACAAUAUUCUCUAUGGGCGCGAUCCAUUUACGCGGAUGUCGCGCCACAGUAUUUCUUUCUUCCCCGUGGACGCGGGAAGUCGCACGUAUCAAUGGAAAGUGGUCCGCCUCUGCACUGUCCGUACGUUGGUCACACGCUUCCGGGCGCCGGCCGGCGGUCGCCUAACGCGCCUUCGGCAAUCAGCAGGUCAGCUCCACGGCUCCGUAGCCGUUACCGUGACUCUCGCGUGGUCGUCAUGCCUUUCGCCUCGUCUCUGGUUGUGUACCGUCUUGUUGAAAUCUUAAAUUGGCUUUUUGUUUCAUUCCUUAUUAAAAUAACUUUUGAGUAACGCCAAUUAUGUGAAAACAUAAUAUCCUGUAGUACUUCAAGUUGGUAAAUUAUUGGCUGCGAGGUUAUAUGAUUUGUGGUAAAGAACAAAUGUGGAUUAUGAUAAUGUAGCUAUAGCCUUUUUACUCCUCUCGAUUAUGGUUCUGCGGGUCUCACAGAAGACUGAGCAUUUAUAAUAGAUUUAACGACGGUAAAAUUGAAGU